rnacentral:rRNA from 1 species
UACAGAGGGUGCAAGCGUUAAUCGGAAUUACUGGGCGUAAAGCGUGCGUAGACGGUUACAUAAGUCGGGUGUGAAAGCCCCGGGCUCAACCUGGGAAUUGCAUUCGAGACUGCGUAGCUAGGGUGCGGAAGAGGGAAGCGGAAUUUCCGGUGUAGCGGUGAAAUGCGUAGAUAUCGGAAGGAACACCAGUGGCGAAAGCGGCUUCCGGGGCCAGCACCGACGUUCAGGCACGAAAGCGUGGGGAGCAAACAGG